rnacentral:rRNA from 1 species
AGCUCCAAUAGCGUAUAUUAAAGUUGUUGCGGUUAAAAAGCUCGUAGUUGGAUCUCGGCAGCCAGGGGGCGGUUCGCUCCAAAGCGUGACUGCCCCAUUUGGCUGUGUGAUUGGCGGAGGUUCCGGGGUGCUCUUCGUUGAGUGUCCCGGUGCGCCGUCAGGUUUACUUUGAAAAAAUUAGAGUGCUCAAAGCAGGCUUUUCAGGCUUGAAUAUUCGUGCAUGGAAUAAUGGGAUUAGAACCUGUUCCUAAUUUGGUGGUUUUCCGGAAUCCAGUUAAAGGAUAAUUGGGGCAAUUGGGGGCAAUAGUAUUCAAACGACAGAGGUGAAAUUCUUGGACCGUUUGAAGACUAACUACUGCGAAAGCAUUUGCCAAGAGUGUUUUCA